AUUGAACGCUGGCGGCAGGCAUAACACAUGCAAGUCGAACGAGUGGCGGACGGGUGAGUAAUGUAUGGGAAACUGCCUGAUGGAGGGGGAUAACUACUGGAAACGGUAGCUAAUACCGCAUACACUCGGAUGUGCCCAGAGGGGAUUAGCUAGUUGGUGGGGUAACGGCGCACCAAGGCGACGAUCCCUAGCUGUUCUGAGAGGAUGACCAGCCACACUGGAACUGAGACACGGUCCAGACUCCUACGGGAGGCAGCAGUGGUGAAUAUUGCACAAUGGGCGCAACCCUGAUGCAGCCAUGCCGCGUGUAUGAAGAAGGCCUUCGGGUUGUAAAGUACUUUCAGCGAGGAGGCGUUACUCGCAGAAGAAGCACCGGCUAACUCCGUGCCAGCAGCCGCGGUAAUAC
rnacentral:rRNA from 1 species